GACGAACGCUGGCGGCGUGCUUAACACAUGCAAGUCGAACGGAAAGGCCUGCUUUCCCUUGUGGAUUGCGGGUACUCGAGUGGCGAACGGGUGAGUACCACGUGAGUGAUCUGCCCCCAACUUGGGUAUAAGCCUGGGAAACUGUGUCUAAUCCCCGAUCGGACUGCAGGGUGGUGCCUGUGUUGGAAAACGAUUUUCUAGUGGUAGGGGAUGAGCUCGCGGCCUAUCAGCGUGUUGGUGGGGUACUGGCCUACCAAGGCGGCGACGGGUAGCCAGCCUGAGGUGGUGGACGGUGGCAUUGAGACAGGGACCAGGCUCCGACGGCUACGGGAGGCAGGGGUGGGUAAAAAUGGACCACAGGCGGGAGCCUGAUGCAGCGACGGCGUGUGGAGGGUGACGGCCUUCGAGUGGUAAUCUCCUGGCGACGACGAGGAGGACGCCUGGAUGGCAGGGUGGUGACGGUAGUGAAAGAAGAAGCACCGGCUAACUACGUG
rnacentral:rRNA from 1 species